ACAGAGAGCUCAGGGGGGCACAGAGAGCUCAGGGGGGGCACAGAGAGCUCAGGGGGGGCACCAAGAGCUCAGGGGGGCACCGAGAGCUCAGGGGGGGCACAGAGAGCUCAGGGGGCACAGAGAGCUCAGGGGGGGCACCGAGAGCUCAGGGGGGGCACAGAGAGCUCAGGGGGGCACAGAGAGCUCAGGGGGGCACCGAGAGCUCAGGGGGGGCACCGAGAGCUCAGAGUGGGCACCGAGAGCUCAGGGGGGGCACCGAGAGCUCAGGGGGGCACAGAGAGCUCAGGGGGGGCACCGAGAGCUCAGGGGGGGCACCGAGAGCUCAGGGGGGCACCGAGAGCUCAGAGGGGGCACAGAGAGCUCAGGGGGGGCACCGAGAGCUCAGGGGGGGCACAGAGAGCUCAGAGUGGGCACCGAGAGCUCAGGGGGGCACAGAGAGCUCAGGGGGGGCACAGAGAGCUCAGGGGGGCACCGAGAGCUCAGGGGGGCACAGAGAGCUCAGGGGGGGCACCGAGAGCUCAGGGGGGCACCGAGAGCUCAGAGUGGGCACCGAGGGCUCAGGGGGGGCACCGAGAGCUCAGGGGGGGCACAGAGAGCUCAGAGUGGGCACCGAGAGCUCAGGGGGGGCACAGAGAGCUCAGGGGGCACAGAGAGCUCAGAGUGGGCACCGAGGGCUCAGGGGGGGCACCGAGAGCUCAGGGGGGCACCGAGAGCUCAGGGGGGGCACCGAGAGCUCAGAGUGGGCACCGAGAGCUCAGGGGGGCACCGAGAGCUCAGAGGGGGCACAGAGAGCUCAGGGGGGCACCGAGAGCUCAGGGGGGGGCACCGAGAGCUCAGGGGGGGCACAGAGAGCUCAGGGGGGGCACAGAGAGCUCAGGGGGGGCACAGAGAGCUCAGGGGGGCACAGAGAGCUCAGGGGGGCACCGAGAGCUCAGGGGGGGCACCGAGAGCUCAGGGGGGGCACCGAGAGCUCAGGGGGGCACAGAGAGCUCGGGGGGGCACCGAGAGCUCAGGGGGGCACAGAGAGCUCAGGGGGGGCACAGAGAGCUCAGAGUGGGCACCGAGAGCUCAGGGGGGCACAGAGAGCUCGGGGGGGCACAGAGAGCUCAGGGGGGCACAGAGAGCUCAGGGAGGGCACCGAGCCCAUCACAAGGGGGCACCGAGAGCUCGGGGGGGGCACCGAGAGCUCAGAGUGGGCACAGAGAGGUCAAGGGGGGCACCGAGGGCUCAGGGUGGGCACUGAGAGCUCGGGGAGGGCACAGAGCCCAUCACGAGGGGGCACGGAGCCCCUGAUGGCAGCACAGCCCCCGCUGGGGGUGCCGCACCCAGGGACGGGGCAGAGCCGGAUGGGGACGGGAACGCGGAUCCUGUCGGGAGGGGGGAACCGGAUCCGAGGGGGCCGCUCCCCUCCCCUCCCCGCCCCCCUCGGCUCCUCCCGUCCCCUCCCCCUCCCGCCCUUUGCCCCCUCCCGCUCUCUCCAGGCCACCUUUGCCCCGUCCCCCCCUACACGUGCCCGAGCCCCCCCGAUCUGUCCGCCGGAGCCCCCCCCAAUCCCCUUCGCGCCCCCGAACCUGCCCAGAGCCCCCACGGCACCCCCCGGCCCC